CUAUCAUGCAGUCGACGGUCUUUUCUAUGGAAGCUUGCUUCCACUGAGAAGAUAGUGGCGGACGGGUGAGUAACACGUGGGUAACCUGCCCAUAAGAGGGGGAUAACAUCCGGAAACGGGUGCUAAUACCGCAUAGUUUUCUUGAUCGCAUGAUCGAGAAAGGAAAGACGGCCUUUGUGCUGUCGCUUAUGGAUGGACCCGCGGCGUAUUAGUUAGUUGGUGAGGUAAUGGCUCACCAAGACGAUGAUACGUAGCCGACCUGAGAGGGUGAUCGGCCACAUUGGGACUGAGACACGGCCCAAACUCCUACGGGAGGCAGCAGUAGGGAAUCUUCCGCAAUGGACGAAAGUCUGACGGAGCAACGCCGCGUGAGUGAAGAAGGUUUUCGGAUCGUAAAACUCUGUUGUCAGAGAAGAACAAGUCGGAGAGUAACUGCUCCGACCUUGACGGUAUCUGACCAGAAAGCCACGGCUAACUACGUGCCA
rnacentral:rRNA from 1 species